rnacentral:rRNA from 1 species
GAUGAACGCUGGCGGCGUGCCUAAUACAUGCAAGUCGAGCGAAUGGAUUAAGAGCUUGCUCUUAUGAAGUUAGCGGCGGACGGGUGAGUAACACGUGGGUAACCUGCCCAUAAGACUGGGAUAACUCCGGGAAACCGGGGCUACUACCGGAUAACAUUUUGAACCGCAUGGUUCGAAAUUGAAAGGCGGCUUCGGCUGUCACUUAUGGAUGGACCCGCGUCGCAUUAGCGAGUUGGUGAGGUAACGGCCCACCAAGGCAACGAUGCGUAGCCGACCUGAGAGGGUGAUCGGCCACACUGGGACUGAGACACGGCCCAGACUCCUACGGGAGGCAGCAGUAGGGAAUCUUCCGCAAUGGACGAAAGUCUGACGGAGCAACGCCGCGUGAGUGAUGAAGGCUUUCGGGUCGUAAAACUCUGUUGUUAGGGAAGAACAAGUGCUAGUUGAAUAAGCUGGCACCUUGACGGUACCUAACCAGAAAGCCACGGCUAACUACGUGCCAGCAGCCGCCGUAA